UGAGGAAUAUUGGACAAUGGGCGCAAGCCUGAUCCAGCCAUGCCGCGUGCAGGAUGACGGUCCUAUGGAUUGUAAACUGCUUUUGUACAGGAAGAAACACUCCCUCGUGAGGGAGCUUGACGGUACUGUAAGAAUAAGGAUCGGCUAACUCCGUGCCAGCAGCCGCGGUAAUA
rnacentral:rRNA from 1 species